rnacentral:misc_RNA from 1 species
GAUGAAGAACGCAGCGAAAUGCGAUACGUAAUGUGAAUUGCAGAAUUCAGUGAAUCAUCGAAUCUUUGAACGCAUAUUGCGCUCUCUGGUAUUCCGGAGAGCAUGCUUGUUUGAGUAUCAGUAAACACCUCAACUUCCAUAUCUUUUUUGAAAUGGGAGUUGGACUUGAGUGAUCCCAACGCUUUUCCUCACCGAAAAGUGGCGGGUUACUUGAAAUGCAGGUGCAGCUGGACUUUUCUCUGAGCUAUAAGCAUAUCUAUUUAGUCUGCCUAAAAAACAGAUUAUUACCUUUGCUGCAGCUAACAUAAAGGAGAUUAGUUCUUGUGCUGACUGAUGCAGGAUUCACAAAGACAGGCUUCGGCCGACUUUGUAAACUCGAUCUCAAAUCAAGUAAGACUACCCGCUGAACUUAAGCAUAUCAAUAACGGAGGA